CUAUGGCUCAAGAUCAUGUCUUGAAGAUAAACAUUUCUGGGUCAUCAUUGAAAGGUUUUCUUGCUCCAGAAUUGGGCUUACUCUCUUCCUUGAGAGAACUAAAUCUGCAAUCCAAUGGAUUGAUGGGGACACUCCCUCCUGAGCUUGGCAAUUUGAAGUACCUCGAGGAACUUCAACUAGAUAGGAAUAAGCUUCAAGGAUUUGUUCCUGGAAGUAACAAUUCAGAUUUUACAUCCACCAGUCAUGGGAUGU